ACCGCGUUAGCCCAGUUGGUAAUGGCGUUGAUAAUACAGAUGCCGAAGGCCGCAGGCUUAAAUCCUGCCUGCGGUG